AUACUUAAAAACCUCCACAUUUUAACACUUCGCAAACUCGUUUCCUAUUUGAAAACACCAAAAAUGAUUUAGACGCAUAAAUCUUCUUUCGUCAUAGAAGGUUUCCAUUUGUUUUGGUUGGUAUCUCUCACUAGCUCAUCUCCUGGCCCACAAUAUCAAUGACCCUAUCACUAACCCAUCGUCUCAUCGUCUCAUCGUCUUCGUCUUGUUGUUACUCAUCAAAGAUGUACUAUUGUCAUCUCUUCCUAUUCACUUCUCAGUCUUCAACAAACCAUUACAACUCUGUCAUAAAACCUUGUUCCUUAAUUU
rnacentral:lncRNA from 1 species